CGGAGAUAUCUCGUUCUCCCCGAAAUAGCUUUAGGGCUAGCGUCGCGCGUUCACCGCCGGAGGUAGAGCACCGGAUGGACGAGGGGGCUUCGCCGCCUACCGAAUCCAACCGAACUCCGAAUGCCGGCGGCCCAGAGCGCGGCAGUCAGAGCAUGUGGGCUAAGCUGUGUGCUCGAGAGGGAAACAGCCCGGACCGCCCGCUAAGGUCCCCAAGUUCCAGCCGAGUGGCAAAGGAUGUGCGUCCGCCCAGACAACCAGGAUGUUGGCUUAGAAGCAGCCAUCCAUUCAAAGAGUGCGUAACAGCUCACUGGUCGAGUGGACAUGCGCCGACAAUACACGGGGCUAAGCUGGACACCGAAGCGGCGGGAUUUUAAUUCAUUAGAAUCGGUAGGGGAGCUUCCCAUGGGCGGAGAAGCCGGAGGGCGACCGACGGUGGAGCGCAUGGGAGUGAGAAUGCUGGCAUGAGUAGCGAGAGACGAGAGAGUAACUCGUCCGCCGUGAACCCGAGGUUUCCUGGGCAAGGCUAAUCCUCCCAGGGUCAGUCGGGGGCUAAGGCGAGGCCGGGAGGCGUAGCCGACGCGCAGCAGGCAGACAUUCCUGCACCGCGCACGCGGCGCUACGACCGACGGGGCGACGGAUGGGGGUGGCUCGGCGGGGUUCUGGACGUCCCCGUGAUGGAGCGCGGCCCGCGGACCAGGGAAAUCCGGUCCGCAGGAGGGCGAGGCUCCGGACGAAGCGACUGAGCGAAGCGAGUGAGCCCGAGGUCCCUAGAAAAACCCCUAGGCAGGCGCGUGCGCGCCCGUACCGCAAACCGACACAGGUGGGUGGGUAGAACAUACCGAGGCGAUCGGGUCAACCAUGGUCAAGGAACUCGGCACAAUGGCCCCGUAACUUCGGGAGAAGGGGUGCCCGCGCGUACGUGAACCGGCUUGCCCGGGGAGCGGAGGCGGGCCGCAGUGGAGAGGCCCAAGCGACUGUUUACCAAAAACACAGGACUCUGCAGAAGCCGCAAGGCGACGUAUAGGGUCUGACGCCUGCCCGGUGCCGGAAGGUCACGCGGAGGAGUUAGCGCAUUUCGCGCGAAGCCCCGAAGCCAAGCCCCGGUAAACGGCGGCCGUAACUAUAACGGUCCUAAGGUAGCGAAAUUCCUUGUCGGGUAAGUUCCGACCUGCACGAAAGGCGCAACGACUUGGGCGCUGUCUCGACCAUGGACCCGGUGAAAUUGCACUGGUCGUGAAGAUGCGACUUACCCGCGGAAGGACGGAAAGACCCCGUGAACCUUCACUGCAGCUUGGCAUUGGCCGCUGGUCCCGCGUGUAGAGGAUAGGCAGGAGGCAUCGAUCCGGAGGCGCCAGCCCCCGGGGAGCCGCCCUUGGAAUACUGCCCUCGCGCGACCGGCGUCCUAACCCGAGGCCGUCAACCGGCUCGGGGACCGUGCCAGGCGGGCAGUUUGACUGGGGCGGUCGCCUCCUAAAGGGUAACGGAGGCGCGCGAAGGUCCGCUCGGGACGGUCGGCAACCGUCCUUUUGAAUGCAAGAGUACAAGCGGGCUUGACUGCGAGGCCCACAAGCCGAGCAGGUGCGAAAGCAGGCUCUAGUGAUCCGGCGGCCCCGAGUGGGUGGGCCGUCGCUCAACGGAUAAAAGGUACUCCGGGGAUAACAG
rnacentral:rRNA from 1 species